rnacentral:rRNA from 1 species
CCUACGGGGGGCAGCAGUGAGGAAUAUUGGUCAAUGGACGAGAGUCUGAACCAGCCAAGUAGCGUGAAGGAUGACUGCCCUAUGGGUUGUAAACUUCUUUUAUAUGGGAAUAAAAUGUUCCACGUGUGGGAUUUUGUAUGUACCAUAUGAAUAAGGAUCGGCUAACUCCGUGCCAGCAGCCGCGGUAAUACGGAGGCUCCGAGCGUUAUCCGGAUUUAUUGGGUUUAAAGGGAGCGUAGGUGGAUUGUUAAGUCAGUUGUGAAAGUUUGCGGCUCAACCGUAAAAUUGCAGUUGAAACUGGCAGUCUUGAGUACAGUAGAGGUGGGCGGAAUUCGGGGUGUAGCGGUGAAAUGCUUAGAUAUCACGAAGAACUCCGAUUGCGAAGGCAGUUCACUGGACUGCAACUGACACUGAGGCUCGAAAGUGUGGGUAUCAAACAGGAUUAGAUACCCGAGUAGUC